AAUCAACGCUGGCGGCGUGCCUCAGACAUGCAAGUCGAACGCGAAAGUCCCCUUCGGGGGACAAGUAGAGUGGCGCACGGGUGAGUAACACGUAGGUAAUCUACCUUCGGAUGGGGAAGUAACAACCGGAAACGGUUGCUAAUACCGCAUAAUGCAGCGGCACCUAAUGGUGACAGUUGUUAAAGCGGGGGAGUCGUAAGACCUCGCGUCUGAAGAGGAGCCUGCGGCGGAUUAGCUAGNGGUAGGGUAACGGCCUACCAAGGCGACGAUCCGUAGCCGGCCUGAGAGGGCGGUCGGCCACACUGACACUGACAUACGGGUCAGACUCCUAC
rnacentral:rRNA from 1 species